UUCGGGGAGUCGGGGGCCGCCGCCGUCCAGGCGUCGGGGGCAGCACUGGUGCUCCGCCGGCGCCGCCUGAAGUGGACAUCGGUGGGGAAGGGCUCACCGAACUCAUUCACUCGGCUUGAAGAAGUAGACCAGCAGUUGAAGUAGAAGAAUCCCCUGUGUGGCACUUACAGCAGUUGCUUUCUUCUGCAUUUCUCAGAUAAGAGGCAAUUCAAGCAACUUUUGUUCAGGAUUAGAUUUGUUUUGUGUACUUUUCAGGCACCCUGAGGGAAAAGGAAGAUAAUAUCCUUAUCUGAGUUUAUUUUGUUUUGUUGUACAGUUUUGAAAGGUCUCUGUAAAAAUUUAAGACAUCCUUUAGAUCUAAAUGUACUUAAGUGUUGUCUUCUACCCCUUCCUCAAAUCAAACCCCCCAGCCUUGGUUUAAAAGGUUUUUAAACCUUUAAAACCCAUAAGGAAGGCAAAUGAGAAGUUUGGAAGUUCCGUUUGCACUUCCAUAGAAAAUGUCAAAGUUCUUUACAUUCUUCGCUCAACUUUGGGACAAGGCACAGAAAUGUUGGUAUUUGCUGCAGAAAGGGAAAGUUUUGAAAUAAAAAUCAAUUCAGAAUCCACUUCUGGGCAAAAUGGCACCUCCUGACUCUUCAAAACAACUGGUGGAGUCCUACAAACCUCAAAUAUUUAGAGUCAAUUAUUAAUUUUUGUAUGAUGAAUGUAAAAGAGUAAAUAAAGCAUCAUCUACAAAGUCACGCA